AGAAAAUCUGUAGAAAAUGGAUGGUAUUCUCUGCUCCCUUACGAAUAUUCAAUAAUACUUGAUGAAGAUUGAGAGGAUCAGGCCCAAUCCAUUUUCUUUCCACCAAAAGAGCAAUUAUUCCAAUCUACAAAAUAAAGGAGUAAGGAAAUUGCAAGAAAUACUUAAACACUGCUGGUUUACCUUAUGGCAUCAAGUGACAGUAUUAUUGAUCAGACUGUUUGGCUAAAGGAUCACACUGUGAAAACUACAACCAUGAAAGGCUCCCCAUUUAUUACAUCCUUCGAAAAUGAACUUGUUAGCAUGAGAGGCUAAGAUGGAGGGUAAUAAUGAAGGUGUCAGUGAAGGAGGCCAAUGCCAUGAGGGUUAUCUCACAGCCCCAGAUGCUGGAUAAGUUGAAGGAGGCAGAAUCGUUUUUGGAUGACAUUCAGGAAGGCCUGAAUGAUUAUUUGGAGAAGAAAAGACUAUUCUUUCCAAGGUCUUUUUCUCCCCUCUCUGACCAGUGGUGCGAUCCGUGAAAUCCUUUCUGAGACAAAGAAUCCUCUCUGAGCCCAACCACACCUAAGAAAUGCUUUGAAGGAAUUGCCAAGCUCACUUUUAAUCAUGAGAAAGAAAUUACCCACAUGGAGUCAGCGGAAAAUGAAAAAGUAGAGCUCGUGCUGUGAAUAAUUCCAGCAAGUGCCAAGGGGCUAGUUGAGAAAUGGCUUCAUGAGGUGAAUAUCUUUAGCUCUUACUUAGGGUUUAGUUACUGAAUAAUCAUUUUCUCUUUUAGGAGCAAUGAAUAUCAUACCUGUAUUUCCUAACUAAAGAGCUCUUAAAGCACCUGUCAGGAUGGUGACAGAUUUAUUAUCAGCUCAUCAUUGUUGCUAUUUACUACAACUAAUUUCUGUUGGAAAGACUCAGGGUAAAUGACUGUUGAGAACCGUGUGUAUUUGUGUGCAUAUGUGUACAUGUCCAGUAUUUUAUG